rnacentral:rRNA from 1 species
AACGAACGCUGGCGGCAUGCCUAACACAUGCAAGUCGAACGAGACCUUCGGGUCUAGUGGCGCACGGGUGCGUAACGCGUGGGAACCUGCCCUUAGGUUCGGAAUAACUCCCCGAAAGGGGUGCUAAUACCGGAUAAUGUCUUCGGACCAAAGAUUUAUCGCCUUUGGAUGGGCCCGCGUUGGAUUAGCUAGUUGGUAGGGUAAAAGCCUACCAAGGCGACGAUCCAUAGCUGGUCUGAGAGGAUGAUCAGCCACACUGGGACUGGGACACGGCCCAGACUCCUACGGGAGGCAGCAGUGGGAAUAUUGGACAAUGGGCGAAAGCCUGAUCCAGCAAUGCCGCGUGAGUGAUGAAGGCCUUAGGGUUGUAAAGCUCUUUUACCCGGGAUGAUAAUGACAGUACCGGGAGAAUAAGCUCCGGCUAACUCCGUG